CAAGACAACUUUACGGAGUUGACGAUUGACGGAGCGAAGCGACGUCAAAGCGUUCAUUAAAGUCGAGUUGGCUUAGGGAUACGUUCGUUGGGUAGGGGAGCGUUCUGUAAGCCUGUGAAGGUGUGUCGUGAGGCAUGCUGGAGGUAUCAGAAGUGCGAAUGCUGACAUAAGUAACGAUAAAGCGGGUGAAAAGCCCGCUCGCCGGAAGACCAAGGGUUCCUGUCCAACGUUAAUCGGGGCAGGGUGAGUCGACCCCUAAGGCGAGGCCGAAAGGCGUAGUCGAUGGGAAACGGGUUAAUAUUCCCGUACUUGGUGUUACUGCGAAGGGGGGACGGAGAAGGCUAUGUUGGCCGGGCGACGGUUGUCCCGGUUUAAGCGUGUAGGUGUGUGUUCCAGGUAAAUCCGGUUCACUUUAACACUGAGGCGUGACGACGAGGCACUACGGUGCUGAAGCAACAAAUGCCCUGCUUCCAGGAAAAGCCUCUAAGCAUCAGGUAACACGAAAUCGUACCCCAAACCGACACAGGUGGUCAGGUAGAGAAUACCAAGGCGCUUGAGAGAAUUCGGGUGAAGGAACUAGGCAAAAUGGUGCCGUAACUUCGGGAGAAGGCACGCUGACACGUAGGUGAAGUGAUUUACUCAUGGAGCUGAAGUCAGUCGAAGAUACCAGCUGGCUGCAACUGUUUAUUAAAAACACAGCACUGUGCAAACACGAAAGUGGACGUAUACGGUGUGACGCCUGCCCGGUGCCGGAAGGUUAAUUGAUGGGGUCAGCGCAAGCGAAGCUCCUGAUCGAAGCCCCGGUAAACGGCGGCCGUAACUAUAACGGUCCUAAGGUAGCGAAAUUCCUUGUCGGGUAAGUUCCGACCUGCACGAAUGGCGUAAUGAUGGCCAGGCUGUCUCCACCCGAGACUCAGUGAAAUUGAACUCGCUGUGAAGAUGCAGUGUACCCGCGGCAAGACGGAAAGACCCCGUGAACCUUUACUAUAGCUUGACACUGAACAUUGAGCCUUGAUGUGUAGGAUAGGUGGGAGGCUUUGAAGUGUGGACGCCAGUCUGCAUGGAGCCGACCUUGAAAUACCACCCUUUAAUGUUUGAUGUUCUAACGUGGACCCGUAAUCCGGGUUGCGGACAGUGUCUGGUGGGUAGUUUGACUGGGGCGGUCUCCUCCUAAAGAGUAACGGAGGAGCACGAAGGUUGGCUAAUCCUGGUCGGACAUCAGGAGGUUAGUGCAAUGGCAUAAGCCAGCUUGACUGCGAGCGUGACGGCGCGAGCAGGUGCGAAAGCAGGUCAUAGUGAUCCGGUGGUUCUGAAUGGAAGGGCCAUCGCUCAACGGAUAAAAGGUACUCCGGGGAUAACAGGCUGAUACCGCCCAAGAGUUCAUAUCGACGGCGGUGUUUGGCACCUCGAUGUCGGCUCAUCACAUCCUGGGGCUGAAGUAGGUCCCAAGGGUAUGGCUGUUCGCCAUUUAAAGUGGUACGCGAGCUGGGUUUAGAACGUCGUGAGACAGUUCGGUCCCUAUCUGCCGUGGGCGCUGGAGAACUGAGGGGGGCUGCUCCUAGUACGAGAGGACCGGAGUGGACGCAUCACUGGUGUUCGGGUUGUCAUGCCAAUGGCACUGCCCGGUAGCUAAAUGCGGAAGAGAUAAGUGCUGAAAGCAUCUAAGCACGAAACUUGCCCCGA
rnacentral:rRNA from 1 species